UGGAUUAUAAUUUAAUUGGUAAAAUAUUGGUUUUUGAUAUCAUUUUUAAAGGUUCGAAUCCUUUUGAUCCAA
rnacentral:tRNA from 1 species